GAUGAACGCUGGCGGCGUGCCUAAUACAUGCAAGUCGAGCGAACGGACGAGAAGCUUGCUUCUCUGAUGUUAGCGGCGGAGGGGGGAGUAACACGUGGAUAACCUACCUAUAAGACUGGGAUAACUUCGGGAAAACGGAGCCAAUACCGGAUAAUAUUUUGAACCGCAUGGUUCAAAAGUGAAAGACGGUCUUGCUGUCACUUAUAGAUGGAUCCGCGCUGCAUUAGCUAGUUGGUAAGGUAACGGCUUACCAAGGCAACGAUGCAUAGCCGACCUGAGAGGGUGAUCGGCCACACUGGAACUGAGACACGGUCCAGACUCCUACGGGAGGCAGCAGUAGGGAAUCUUCCGCAAUGGGCGAAAGCCUGACGGAGCAACGCCGCGUGAGUGAUGAAGGUCUUCGGAUCGUAAAACUCUGUUAUUAGGGAAGAACAUAUGUGUAAUUAACUGUGCACAUCUUGACGGUACCUAAUCAGAAAGCCCCGGCUAACUACGUG
rnacentral:rRNA from 1 species